AUUGAACGCUGGCGGCAGGCCUAACACAUGCAAGUCGAGCGGAUGAAGGGAGCUUGCUCCUGGAUUCAGCGGCGGACGGGUGAGUAAUGCCUAGGAAUCUGCCUGGUAGUGGGGGAUAACGUCCGGAAACGGGCGCUAAUACCGCAUACGUCCUGAGGGAGAAAGUGGGGGAUCUUCGGACCUCACGCUCUCAGAUGAGCCUAGGUGGGAUUAGCUAGUUGGUGGGGUAAAGGCCUACCAAGGCGACGAUCCGUAACUGGUCUGAGAGGAUGAUCAGUCACACUGGAACUGGGACACGGUCCAGACUCCUACGGGAGGCAGCAGUGGGGAAUAUUGGACAAUGGGCGAAAGCCUGAUCCAGCCAUGCCGCGUGUGUGAAGAAGGUCUUCGGAUUGUAAAGCACUUUAAGUUGGGAGGAAGGGCAGUAAGUUAAUACCUUGCUGUUUUGACGUUACCAACAGAAUAAGCACCGGCUAACUUCGUG
rnacentral:rRNA from 1 species